CAUCGGAUGGGAAUGGGGUUGUCAUUGGGUUUAUAAAGAGACUUAGACACUAGUAAUAAUAACUGGGCUUGAGCAUUUUGGGCCGGUGGUUGGGCUUAACGAGUUAUUAUUGCUAGUGGGCUGGGUCGUUACAUUUGGUAUCAGAGCUGGUUCACCAGCUGGACAUGUGUGGCGAGUCUCGACUGAGCUAGGGCCUGGAUGACGGGCUAGCGAGACGAGUCUCACAUCGCCUGGUGAUCUUGGGCUGUGUGUGUGAUUGGACUGACGAGGACGUCAGGGCCUUAACGGGGGGAGUCUGUGACACCCCAAUAGUCCCACAUCGGAUGGGAAUGGGGUUGUCAUUGGGUUUAUAAGAGACUUAGAUACUAGUAAUAAUAACUGGGCUUAAGCAUUUUGGGCCGGUUGUUGGGCCCAACGAGUUAUUGUUGCUAGUGAGCUGGGUCGUUACAACUCAAGCUUCUUCCCAAGCUUAGAACGAAGAAGAUGAUGGCUUGACCUCCAAGCUACUCCUCUUCAACUUAAUCUUCUCCAACUUCACCUCUUUAAUGGAGAAAUUGCUAGAGAGAGAAAGCUAGCGGAGAGGAUUUGAGAGAAGAGAGAGAAAGAGAAAGAGAAGCCUCCUCUAAGCUUCUCUCGGGUCGGACAAAACCAGGGAGAGAGUUGUGUGGGUUCACAUAUAUAUAUAGACCCCCCAAACAGUAUUACAACUUUCAAUUUAGCAGUUCAGAAUCUGAUACUUUUCGCCGGAGCCUUUCUGAAUGUCCGUUUGUUCUCAAAUUUGACAGUCAGGCUCGGUUUAACUUAACAAGAAGAACGAAAUUUUAAUCUUUCAGUUUUGACCAUUUUUUGUCACCGAAAGCUCUACCGACUAAAAUCUCUAACAGAUAGCAGUCAUAUUUUAUUUUUCACUUUCCAGGUGUCGGAAUGACAUAAAACUUUAAAUCUAACCUCAUAAAAAUAAUUUCGACAUAUUCUCUAAUUUUCAUAAUUUUCUAACACUGUGAAUUCUCUGCUAAAAUAUCAGUCCCGCCUCUUACAGAAAAUUCUAAAUCUUCUAUUUCCAUUCUAAUUUUAGCACAAGUCAUUUCUGACUUACAUUUUACUUCUUCAAGUCCAAUAAAAAAUAGUAUCUCACACUAUUUUUAUUUAUAUUUAUUUUUAUAUUAAAAUUCGGUACAUUACAUUCCACCCUUCUAAAAAAAAGUUUCGUCCUUAAAACUUAAACCACUCCUCAACUCCAUUUCUCGAGUAAUUGAGGGUACCAACACAUUGUCCCACUCCAGAGCGGCUUCACACUAUUGUGGUUACUUAAGCGGCUCAUACUGAAGAAUGUAGGUUCAAUCACAAACACACUUACGGAAUGUGAUACAAGAAGUGCAUUACGGGUCCUGCAAGUCUCGAUGGCAGCGCGAGUCAAUACCCAACGACUCUACACGCUCCAACACCGCUCGCCACCCAGCACACGAAGGACUCAUCCCUCGAACACUCUACUGAACACCAUUUUCUUUUGAGAUCAGGACUACCCCCCAUCCUCAUGGUGUGGAUCUAGCAAAAGACAUCAACUAGCCGAAUGGUCCACCACCACGACGCAAUACGUACGGGUAGGCCUCCUCGAACCACUCAAGUGUUCACAAAGUGGCACUCCACCACUCCGGCCAUCCAAGAGUUUGGUAUAACUCUUCCUUGCAUUCCUCGUCCCUUCAAGGAACACACUCCGAUUCGAUCACCGGCAUUGCUUAGAAGCAAUAUCAAGGGUGCAUCGUUCCAUCGCGAGUGUUCCAAUCGGAACCGGAUCCUUGCUCUACUACAAGAUGGCGUACUCCGGCACAUUUCCAAUCUCAAUCCUCAAAAGAGCAUUAGUCCUCAAACUCCGCGUGGCUAUUCAUUAUUCAAAUGUCUCCUAGAGACCACUUUACUUUUUUUUUCCAUUGCCACGGCCAACGUCAAUUCGUUCUUACAACGAGCUCACACGAACACUCUGUUCGUGAAUCCAAGCCAAACUCCUUGACAGAGUUUUCUGCCAAACCGCUUAUCUCGGUUUCCACAGUGGAACACAGGCCACCAGCCCUACAUAGGCCCACCGCCGAAACUUGUCUCAACUACGCAUGGCAUCUCUCGCUCGCAAGCGUAGACCCAAACAUCACUGGGCGAAAUUCUCAUUCGAGAAUUUGCACACACUCCAACCAGGAGCAACCAUGACCCCAAACCACGUCAUAUCCUCGGGUUGGGUCACCACCGCAUCUACAGUGUAUUAUCGAUAACACGAUCCAUCACGUGGCAUUCCAUGCUCCCGGGUCUAAGCUCGGACUACCGCCCCAACCAAAAUCUCUACCCUACCCGUAGGUACCAGGCCGUUGUUUCACACAGCUGACUGCGCCUGCCCAAAGGCCCCGGGCUCCACAGCCCACAAUAGGUCCAGGCACGGAUCGUCCCCAAACAAUACCUGCCAUCGUCGUCCUACUCGACAUGCUCUACCGAGCCAUACAUACUGCUAUCGGCUCCUAAGCACCUAGUGCAAGCCACCUGUCCUACAAAUAAUCCAUACCGCGUAAUGAUCAAUUUGUUAAAAAGUAUUUCAAAUAAGAACGAACUGUUAUGAUCAAUCUUUUAAAAAACAGCAUUCCUGUCCAUCUAUUUUAUAAUAAAACUUAAAAUUGAAUAUAAAUCGUGAAUUAGAUUUAAUUUUUGAUACCUAAUUUGAAUUAACAAUCAAAAAUUUUAAUUAUAUAAUGGAUCAAAAUUAAAUUUUAAAUUUUGAAAUAAAUGUCAAUUAAAUUUUGUUGAUUUUAGUUAAAAACAAAUACUUAAAUCUUAGAUUAAUCAUAAAUCAAAAAAUAUAUAAAAAUAUUUAAUGUAUAUUAAAAAGAACAGUAUAGAAUAUUGCAAAUAUUUUUUAAUAAACUAUAACACAUAAAUUUAUAAAUUAUAAUUUUUAUUAUAAAUUUUUAAAUAAAUUAAAAUAAUUAUUACGUGUAUUUGUACGUACAUUCAACUAAUAUAUAUACGUGAGUAGAGCUACUGUGCUGUUAGUAGCACAACAACUAUUAUACUCCUAAGUUCAUAACUACCUAUAAAUUUUUAUGGAUAGUUAGGGUUGAUAUCUCAUUUCUUUCAUUUCUUUCUCAAUUUCUCUUCUUUUUUAAUUUCUCCCCAAUUUUUUUUUUGUCUCUCACCUUAACCACCCAUCAAAAUUGAUGAAUGGUUACGAACUUAUAGAUUAUUGGGAAAAUCUUUCUCUUUUUAUUCUCAGAUAUCUUCACUUUAGCUAGGCACGUUGUAGUGUCCCUGGUGUUCUGUAGCUCGUGUGUUUCAGCAUUUGAGGCUUGUCGAUACAUCUGGAGAGUGUCGAGACAAGUCGUAGUCGUUUUGGGCAAAUUGGACACAAAACGGACUCAGUGCGAUGCGAGAGCAGAGUUUUGACAUUGGAAUCUACAAAGUGCAAGAUUUCAGUAUUGAGCACCGGUACCAAGGAGAGGAGUACCGGUACCCCAGUGGAAUUCCAGAACUGAUGCUCUCGGGUUGCGCCAAUCUGAUGCCAAGUACUGGUACUGCAUCGGGCUGGUACCGAUACCCUGUGUGCGAGCUUUGUGGGUUGAAAGGCCGAGUACCGGUAACCAAGUUGGGUACCAGUACUCCAGCUGGAUUUUUGAGUUUGUGAGGGGCCUUUUGGUUAUUUGAGGCGUCGUUAAUCCCAACCUUACCCCAGCUCUUUAUAUAUGUGUAAAGAGGCAGAGAAGAGGUUUUCGGUUGCUGCUCUCUCUCUCUUCUCUCUUUAGUAAUGGACGUGCUCGUGGUGGGGAUCGGGGAUCGAGCUCGGGUAGAUUUCGACGUUAAUCCGGAGGGCCGUUCGAGCGUGCGUGUGUCGCGGUUGCGUCGUUGGAGACCGGGCGAGUGCAUGUUUUUCCUUUUUUCAACUACUCGCCGUUGUUGGACGAGCUUUCCGAGAUGGGUUGAAGUUUACCGAAAUCGUCGGAUUUCCUCCUAAGCUGAAUGGUGUUAGCAUGUGUUUUUCAUGUGUAGAAUUAUGUUUAAAUAGCUCAAUUCAUGGAUUUGUAUAGAUUGUAUAGAAUCUGAAUUUAGAGCUUAGAAUAAUUCUAUAUGUUGAACUUGGAAUUGACUUAGGAGAAAACUAUUGAACCCAACACUGUCACUUUUAUGAAAAUUAUCAGAUUUAGCUUUAGGAGUUGUGGUUUGUUUGUAUUGUCGCUGUUCGUAUGCGGUGGACACCCAGAUUAGUGUAGGAUGAGUUUACGCUCGUGCUGGGAUGCCGAGCUUAUUUUACAGUAGUGUGUAGACUGUUUUGGACUGUCGGGUGCCGUCGCUGUUGACGGUGGACCCAGAUUUCUGUAUUUUGCAUCAGAUUGUGCCAAGAGCACGUGAGCUUUGGUCGUUAGACCAGUUAGACCCAUUUGCAUUGACUAUAACCCGUGAGAGCCUGAUUGAGCUCGACAGAGAUACGCUUGCAUACUCGGUUGGGUCGCGCCCACGACUGCCGCUCCGAAGUCUAGCUUUUUGCUUUGCGUUGAUGUCGUUGUUGUCUGGUUUGGACUUGCUCUCCACCGGCAGCCCUCAGGGUGGUGUUCGGUGUAGCUUCGACAGGCGGGACGGGUGUAUUCACAGUCCCUAGUGAGAUUGGAUCUGAAAUUACAUUUCUAUAUCUACAGAAUAGUGGUUAGCAAUAGUAUAGUGACAUGUAGCUGUAGAGUUUUUACCAGCUUCCUUUAUUAUCCUUGUGCAUAAUUUCUGUAGACUUAGUGGAUGAGCCGUUGAGGUCGGUAGCGGUAUGCUGCUGACGCUGUUUUUGAUCGGGAAAGGAAGUCACGAGCUAGAUCCCUUCCAGCCUUGUUCUCGUGCUAGAGGAGUACCUUCCACAGGUAGUUUUGGAGUAUUUUUGUACAUAUGGUUAUGUCGGGGUACUCGCUGGAGCGAGCUUUGUUGUGGACAUUUUGUACGUUGGCUAAUUAAUUAGAGGAUUGCAUGGCCCUUAAUUUUGGUCACAUCCGGCUUCAUUAACUUGGCCACAUAUAUAUAGGGCAUGGCUUUGAAUUAGUGUCUAAUUGGAACUCUAAUCUAAUUGGAUUUCUAAACACAAGUCUAAUCUAUUCAAUUUGAAAUUAGAUUCCGACUCAUAAUCCAUAUAUGCCAAAUUAUAUCCAAUCUCAAUUAGAUUAGGAUUUAACUCCAAUUUAGGUAACUACAAAUCUAAACCAAAUAUAACAAUCUCCACCUUGGUUUAAUUUGUAGUUUAGCCGCCGCUAUAUCGAGGUCGCCACAAAACUCCACCUUGAAUUUAAUUCGCCUCAAUACUCCUUAAUGCUCCGUGUUCCGUCUUCUCCAAUCGCCCCAUAGGGCCUCAAAUGCUGCUAAUUGCAACCAAGUCCAAACAAUGCUUGAACUUGGCAAUAGUAAGAGACUUAGUAACCAUAUCCGCCGGACUGUCCUCAGUACCAAUUUUCUUAACAGUCAUUGUGCACUUCCCAAUCACAUCCCGAACAAACUGAAAUUUUACAUCGAUGUGCUUUGUUCUCUCAUGAAACAUCUGAUAUUUCGACAAAUGAAUAGCACUUUGACUGUCUGAAUAAACAAUCGUCGGAUCCCAACAAAAAGUAAACUCUCCAAUUAAGCCUCUUAGCCAUAUAGCUUACUUCACACCCUCUGUCAUAGCAAUAUAUUCCGCCUCCGUCGUAGACAAGGCGACAAUAGGUUGUAGUGAAGCUUUCCAACUAACUGCACAUCCGCCAAUAGAGAAUAUAUAACCUGAAAGUGAUCUCCUCCUAUCCAAAUCACCUAUAAAAUUCGAAUCAACAUAUUUAACCACACCAUCCUUAUACCUCCCAAACUCCAAACAAGUGCUAGUGGUACCUCGUAAGUAUCUCAAAAUCCACUUAAUAGCUUGCCAAUGAGCCUUACCAAGAUUGGUCAUAUAUCUGCUAGCCAUGCUCACUGCGUAGGAGAAGUCCGACCGUGUGCAAAUCAUAGCGUACAUGAUGCUCCCGACGGUACUAGAAUAAGGAACAUGUGAUAUGUACCCCUGCUCAUCAUCGGACUGCGGUGAUAACUAAGCGGAAAGUCUGAAAUGCACAACAAAAGGAGUGCUCACUGGUUUUGCAUCUGUCAUCCCGAAACGCUUUAAAAUCUUCUCUAUAUAUUUUUCUUGUGUCAAAUGCAGUAGUCUUGACUUGUUGUCCCUCUUUAUUUCCAUACCAAAGAUUUUCUUAGUAGCACCUAGAUCUUUCAUCUCAAACUCAUCCUUAAGUAAAGCCUUCAAUUUAUUUAUCUCAACUAUGUUAUUAGAAGCAAUUAACAUAUCAUCAACAUAGAGCAACAAAUAUAUGAAAGAUCACUUAUCAAGCUUUCUGAAAUAUAUGCAACUGUCAUGCUUGCUGCUGGAGUAUCCGUGACCUGUCAUGAAGGAGUCGAACCGCUUGUACCAUUGUCAAGGAGACUGUUUUAAGCUAUAAAGCGAUUUCUUUAACAGGCAAACAUGGUCCUUCUUUUCUUCAACAAUGAAUACCUUCAGCUGUUUCAUAUAAAUUUGCUCCUUAAGUUCUCCAUGCAGAAAACCUGUCUUAACAUCAAGUUACUCAAAAUACAGGUCAUUCAUGGUUACUAACGAUAAAAGAAUACGAAUAGAAGUAUGCUUUACGACGGGUGAGAAAAUAUCAUUAAAGUCAACACCUUCUACCUGACUGUAGCCCUUAGCAACUAAACGAGUUUUAUACCUUGUAUCUUCCACGCCGAGGAUUCCGUCCUUUUUCUUGUAGACCAAUUUCCAACUAACAAUUUUCUUGCCUGUAGACGGUUUUACAAACUCCCAUGUGCGAUUCUUAUUGAGAGACUCCAUAUUCUCAUUCAUCACCACCAACCACUCUGCAAAACUGGCACCACAAAUAGCUUGAUUAUAUGUGGAAGGUUCACAUUCUUUUUCUGUAUCUUAUGCCACUCAAAAAGCGUAGCAAUUAUAUUUUCAUAACUGUAUCUCUGCGGUGGUUUGAUCUGUCUCCUCGCUCUGCUUGUAGCAAUGCUCUACCUCUCAACUUGUGGGGUUUCAGUUACUGAGGUGUCUGCUGACUGAAUUUAUUCUGACUUAGAAGAAUCCGGCGACUGAACUAUACCAUUGGUCUCUACCUCCACCUGCUUGCUAGCACUCGGGAUCUCAUCAAAAGAAUUACGGUUAGAAUAUAAUAUAGCAGAUUCAUCAAAUGUGACAUCCCUACUAAUAAUUAAUUUAGACGAUUCAGGACACCACAAUCUAUAUCCCUUAACCCCCGAUGCAUAACCAAUAUAAAUGCACUUUUUAGCCCUAGGUUCUAACUUGCCUUCAUUGACAUGAACAUAAGUAGGACAACCAAAUAUUCGCAAAUUAGAAUAAUCAGAAGGGCUGCCAGACCAUAGCUCCUAAGGAGUUUUGCAAUCAAGUGCUGAAUAUGGAGAUUGAUUCACCAAAUAGCAUGUCGUAGAGAUCGCCUCUGCCUAGAGAGCAUACAACGAGCUCUCUCUAAAGGAGUUCUAUUCAUCUGUUCGGCCACCCCGUUCUGUUGUGGAGUAUGCCUAAUGGUCUUAUGUCUAACGAUUCCUUCCUUCUUGCAAAAUUCUUCAAACUCUGAUGAACAAAAUUCCAAACCGUUGUCGGUCCUUAAUCUCUUGAUCUUCUUUCCAUUUUGCUUCUCAAUUAUGACCUUCCACUGUUUAAAAUAAUUGAACACAUCAUCCUUACUUUUCAGAAAGAACGCCCACACUUUACGAGAAUAGUUGUCAAUAAAAGUCAACAUAUAUCUAGCACCACCAUGAGUAGGAGUAUGAGAGGGUCUUCAAAGAUCAGAAUGAAUAUAGUCUAGAGUACCUUUUGUCCAGUGAAUUGCGGCCUUAAAGCUGACUCUCUUUUGUUUGCGAAGAACACAAUGCUCGCAGAAAUCUAACUUUUCUAAACUCUGACUAUCAAGUAGACCUCUCUCACUCAACUUCAUCGUACCAUAUUCACUCAUAUAGCCCAGUCGCAUAUGCCAUAAUCUGGUGCUAUCAAAAUCUGACAUAGAGGAAUAAGUCACCGCUGCCGAGCCCGUCACAGUGGAACACUGUAGAACAUAUAACAUGUCGGACAACUUGGCUUUCAUCACUACAAAAUUUUCUUAAACCGACCUUCAUUAAUCCAUCAGCUGAAGAAUACUUAAAGCCUUUAGCAUCAAGCAUACCGAAUGAGAUCAGAUUUUUUUCUCAUAUCUGGAACAUGCCGAACCUUAGAUAUAGUCAUCACUACUCCGUCGAACAUCUGUACCCGAACAGUGCCAAUUCCAAAACUGUACACUUAGAGUAAUUUCCCAUCAAUAUAUCUCCACCUUCAAUAGGCUUGUACGUCGAGAAUCAUUCUCUAUGCGUGCAAAUAUGGAAAGAGCACGCAGAGUUCAUAAGCCACUCAUUCUGUCUACGUGUCUUAUCUGUAACUGUGAAGAUGAUAUCAUUUUUAUUUGAUUCUCCUGCUGCAACACUUGCUUCUGCUUCAGUAUUGAUGUUUUUCUAAUCUUGAUUUUUAUCACCAUUAUUCUUUCGCUGCUCUUUAUGUUUCAACUUGAAACAAUUAGCUUUUAUGUGACCCUUCUUCUUACAAUAAUCACAAAUCAGAUUUCUGUGUUUUGACUUAGAUCUAGAUGUAUCUGUAUUACCGAAACCCUUCUCUCGAGACCUCCCUCUAGCGACCAAAUCUUGUCCUAAAACUCCACCUGUCUCGUUACUUAUCUGCAUGUCAAUUUUCUCUUUUAAAAGUAAAAAGGAUUUAACAUCAUUGAGACAUAGAAUAUCUCGUCCAAAUAAGAAGGUCUCACGAAAAUUCUUAUAAGAGGGCGGUAGAGAACAUAAUAAUAAAAUUAAAAGCUUCAUCUUCCUCCUCGAUUUUAACAUCUAUCGAGUGGAGAUCCAUAACAAUAGAAUUAAAUUCAUCUAAAUGCGACUUAAUAGAGAUACCUUCCGCCAUGCGCAACAUGAAGAGACGUUGCUUCAAAUAUAACUUGUUGGUGAAAGACUUCGUCAUGUAGAGAGACUCCAAUUUAAGCCAAAGCCCUGCAGCGGUUUUUCAUCUAAGAGCUCGCGCAAUACCUCAUCGGACUUCUGAAUCUCAAAUUUCGUCGUCAUCUUAAUUCUCAAAGUGAAUAGAAAGGCUCUGAUACCAGUUUGUAAAAAUCAGAACGGCGAAAAAUAAAUUUAGAAAAUAACUUAAUGUAGGAAAAGAAAAGAAAAGGAAAGAGCACACCGAUAUUUAUGUGGUUCGACCAACAGUCUAUAUCCACGAACGAAGACGGAGCAAAUAAUUUAUUAAUAUCGAAAGGUGGAGUACAAAGAAUAUCGCUCAAAGAAUCUCAUAAUCCAAAUAAAUAAAUCGACGCGCAUAUGCAUAUAGCAUCUCUAAUUUACCACGUCCGUACAAUGAGAUCCUUUGGCUCGGCACCUUGGUUGACUUAAUUAAUUGAGGAACACUAAAAAGAAAAGCAACAACGACUAAUUAAUUAGAGGAUUGCAUAACCCUUAAUUUUUGGUCGCACCGGCUUCAUUAAUUUGGCCACGUAUAUAUAGGGCAUGGCUUUGAAUUAGAGUUUAAUUGGAACUCUAAUCUAAUUGAAUUUCUAAACACAAGUCUAAUCUAAUUCAAUUUGAAAUUAGAUUCCGACUCAUAAUCCAUAUAUGCCAAAUAAUAUCUAAUCCCAAUUAGAUUAGGAUUUAACUUCAAUUUAGGUAACUACAAGUCUAAACCAAAUAUAACCGAAUUUUUUCGGAAUUUCUUUAAAACUUAAAUUAAACUUUCGAAUUAUUUUACGCAAUAUUUUAAUAAAAGGUCAAAAAGAUUUUACUGUGCUCCUAACAGCACUGUGGCUCUACUUAUAUAUAUUGUAGAACUUGUGCGCUAUAACCAACAUAGAGACCUUAUUGCUUGCUUUUAAGUCGUUUUCGAUGAUUGAAUUUUCGAAUCAAUGAUUAGCUCAAGAUCAUGAGGCGACAUGAGACUUGUCUCGCUAGCUUUUGUCAUUCCGAUCCUAAUUUAGCCUGUUAAUCACCGACCCUAAUUUAGUAUGCCAUUCCAACCCUGGCUCAGCCAAGACUCAUCUCAUACUUCCGGCUGGUUAACUAGCUCUGAUACCAAAUGUAACGGCCCAGCCCACUAGUAAUAAUAACUGGUUCGGCCCAAACGCCGGCUCAAAAUGCUUAAGCACAGUUAUUAUUACUAGUGUUUAAAUCUCUUAUAUACUCAAUCACAUCUCUAUUUUUAUCUGAUGUGAAAUUAUUGGAAUGUGACAAGAAGUAGGAGAUCUUACUUGAUACUUCUAAUUUUAUUAU
rnacentral:lncRNA from 1 species